rnacentral:misc_RNA from 1 species
AAAGUCGUAACAAGGUUUCCGUAGGUGAACCUGCGGAAGGAUCAUCAUUAGUCCAAAUAGACUGUUGUUUCCUCCAAAAGGUUCAACAGUCUAAAACCUUCUUGUGCACUGUUUUAAUGUAACGGUAGAUUGGGAGUUAAAUUGUGAUAGCAGCAACGUUGUUACAACUCCCAAUUUACCAAUGUUUAUAACUAACUCUGAUAUAUUUAACGUUGUCUUUAUUUUAUUAUACAUUAAUUUGUACUAAUAUUAAUACAACUUGCAGCGAUGGAUCUCUAGGCUCUG